rnacentral:rRNA from 1 species
AGUGAACGCUGGCGGCAGGCCUAAUACAUGCAAGUCGAACGGCAGCACAGCAGAGCUUGCUCUGUGGGUGGCGAGUGGCGGACGGGUGAGGAAUACGUGGGAAUCUGCCCAGUCGUGGGGGAUAACGUAGGGAAACUUACGCUAAUACCGCAUGCGCCCUUCGGGGGAAAGCCGGGGACCUUCGGGCCUGGCGCGAUUGGAUGAGCCCACGUCGGAUUAGCUAGUUGGCGGGUAAAGGCCCACCAAGGCGACGAUCCGUAGCUGGUCUGAGAGGAUGAUCAGCCACACUGGAACUGAGACACGGUCCAGACUCCUACGGGAGGCAGCAGUAGGGAAUAUUGGACAAUGGGCGCAAGCCUGAUCCAGCCAUGCCGCGUGAGUGAAGAAGGCCCUCGGGUUGUAAAGCUCUUUGUCCGGAAAGAAAAGCGCCGGGUUAAUACCCUGGUGUCCUGACGGUACCGGAAGAAUAAGCACCGGCUAACUUCGUGCCAGCAGCCGCGGU